rnacentral:rRNA from 1 species
CAAUAGCGUAUAUUAAAGUUGUUGCGGUUAAAAAGCUCGUAGUUGGAUUUCUGCCGAGGACGACCGGUCCGCCCUCCGGGUGAGUAUCUGGCUCGGCCUGGGCAUCUUCUUGGAGAACGUAACUGCACUUGGCUGUGUGGUGCGGUAUUCAGGACUUUUACUUUGAGGAAAUUAGAGUGUUUCAAGCAGGCACACGCCUUGAAUACAUUAGCAUGGAAUAAUAAGAUAGGACCUCGGUUCUAUUUUGUUGGUUUCUAGAGCUGAGGUAAUGAUUAAUAGGGAUAGUUGGGGGCAUUCGUAUUUAACUGUCAGAGGUGAAAUUCUUGGAUUUACGGAAGAUAAACUACUGCGAAAGCAUUCGGCAAGGAUGUUUUCGUUAA